AGCUUUUGACAGUAACAUUAUUAUAGCCAAUGAGGUUUAUCUGAGGUGUGAUUAUUGCUAAUUGAAAACUUUUCCCAAUACCUUGCCAUGACAGCUUGAAAUAUAGUCAGUAUUGACAAUUUUUGAUAGUCUUUAUGGAGA
rnacentral:snRNA from 1 species